UGGUGGAAAAUUGAUUAUUAGAUUGUGUAUUACAUCGUUGUGAGAAAAAUCAAUUUGGAAUUGAAUUUGGACGUUGAAAACCUACUAUCUCAUAAUAGAGGACUUUCCUCUAUAUAAUUCAAAGUUACGAUUCUAGUAUAACUAACAAUUAAUAAUUAUUGUAUUAUAGUAUCCAACAUUCAGCCAAAUAUUAAUUUGAAAUCUUGUCUAUUACUGACUUUUCAAUCUUAUAGUUUAAUCAUUUAUAUCAUACAUUUACUCGGAAUAGCCAGUUGAUAGAAUGUGAUAAAAUUGAUAAAAUGUCAAGCUGAUAGACAGCUCCAGACCAAUAUUGUCGGACUUCAUAGUCAAGAUGUAUGUACAUCUAGAUACGAUAAAUGACUUGGAAGUUAUAGUCAAGUGAGAAAACAUUAAUAAAUGUCGUCUAUAUCUAAUGUAAUCCCAAAGUAGAUAUUUCGAGUUUUCAGAAUUACACUGUAACUGAAUGUAUUAUAUGAAGGCACCCACAAAUAACGCAACAUAAAAGGAACUUUGAAUAAAGUAGAAGAUGGAUGGAGGAAGGUGGAUUAAUAUUUCCAAAAAAAUUUGUGUGGGCAAAAUGGAAAAACGCUAAACAAGUGGAAAGAAGCCUGUACUUACGCAGAGAAGCUCUUACAGGCGGAUGAUAUUAUAUUAUAAAUUACCGUGAACAAAUAGCAGUUAAAACAUAAAGCGGACAUGAUGUAUAUCAGACUUUCAAUUAACUGUUAUACAAAUUUUUUAAUUGCAUUUUUAAUUGAAAAAGUAUACAUUGCCAUGGCAUACAUUGCCAUUGAGAAUAAAUUAUAAUCUGUCGUAAAGCAAUUAGAAGUGAAAACUCGCAAUUAAUCAAGUGUCUUAAUUAAUAAAAAAAUAAAAAAGUAUUAGUUGCAUUUAAUUACUUCAAAAGCUAGUAUUAAAUCAUGAAAAUGUUAUUUGAUUUUUAAUUCGCUUAAAUAAAUUAACAAAGCAUAUUUUUUACUAGUAAAAAUGCAAAAUACAAUCAACACAGGAGUAAGUCUAUUUAGCAUAUUUAUCCACGGUUACGCUAUUACUAACAUUAAUACACGAAGCUUUGUGCAAGUUCUUCCAAAUUUGCAUUCUUAAACAUAUGAGAAUAAACUAAAUAAAUAUUCGUACCAAAGCAUAAUAUUAAUAAUAAUAAAGUUGCUGGUUUUACAAGAGAAUAUUAGAAUGAGCAAAGAGAUACAAUGCUUAUAAACAACGCAACUUAUACCAAACGUCGCAUUUAUAAGAAGAAUAUGUAAGACAAGUGCAAACAGAAUGAAGAAAGCACUCUGAUCGUACCAAUACGUGGCGCCCUCACGCGAAUAAGGAUGCCUAUGGACGCCACAAUCGCCAGAAUGACAUUUUCACGAGAAACAUGGAGGAUUGGCCUUCAGCUUUAGUGGUUUUAGCCAUCAUAUCUUUGGAUCUAUUAACUUUUUCUUUAGCCACAGCUAUAAUUUUACUGCUUAACUUUAACUUUACUAACUUCACCAUUGUAACUUUAUUAUUCCUUAUCUUAACUUUAUUAACUUUAAUCUUUUAAUCUUAAAUUAAAAUAGAAACUUUAUUACAGCUGUAGUUUUAAUUUUUAAAACUCGAGUUUUAGUCCUUAAUUCUAAUUUUACGUUUAAUUACAACUUAGUUUUAACUUUAGCUUAAACUGUAAUUUUAAUUAUCUCUAUUGUAUUAAUAAUAUUUGUAAAUAUUGUUAAUCAUGAUCUAAAAAGUAGUGACAAAUUAUAAUCAAUUAACCAUUAUUAUUUAAUUAAUAUAUAACUUUAUUCAUAUUUCUGUUCACAUAGUGACGUAUGAUGACAUGGGACACUAUCGAUGCGCCAUUGUCAUUAUGGGAAAUAAUAUCUUUUCCUGCACGUACGUAUAAUAUAAUAGAAAUAUUAAGUUUAACCAGAUACGGAACGUACGAUUUGUAAUGGCUUAUUAAUUAAAUAUCGCAUAAAGAUAAGACACACGAAAAUAACCGCGUUUUAAAGCUGACUUGUUGUUAUGCGUUCACAUUUAUUUCAAGUUUGUUAAAGAAUCAGUGACAAAGAAGUUAAAACAAUUCCUUGGAACGUUUGCAUACGAAUGUAUAACACUCGUUGCAGCACGUGCAACCGCUAAGUGAAUCAACUCACCUCGUGGCAAGGAUAACCAAAAAUAAUGCGACGUCUUCAUUCGACAAAUAUUUGAAUGCCACGGUUCAAAUGUCGCGUUGCAUGAAUGAAGUGAUAUAAUGUUUAAUGAUGUCGCAAAUACGCAUUUUGCACGGACAUUACACUGGAAGAAACUUCAAAGAUAAAAAUUAUGAUACUUUAAUUGAAAGAAACUGAAAGAAUACAAAGAACAAAAAGAUAAUAAAAUAAAUACAAGAUAAACACUAUUUUCUUCCUUAUAUAUAACUUUUUAAAUAAAAUAUAUUUUUGAAGAUCGUUAAAAAAAUUUUUUCCUUCCCUUAUUUCUAUUUACUUCACUUCUCUUCCUUUCUUCACCCUUUUCUUUACUCUUUAUUUCCUUAUAUCGGUUAUCCUUACGUUUAUUCUAAUUAAUACAACUUUAUUUUUCUUAUCCUUAAUUUUUUUCCUCUUAUUUAUAUUCCAUCUUCGUAAAAUAAGCUGGUCAAGGUGCGGUCGUUGAAUCUUGGAAUAUCCUAUAUACAUUUGCAUGCACGCGUCACACACAUAAAGUGGCGCACAUAAUCGGAAAUGUAGUCCGUUCAAGGAAGGCUACGGAAAACGAGAUCGUUGCUGGCCUCAGCGAAAGCGAGCGGCGAGGACGCGACACUAACGCUACGUCGUACUCUGCCGAGCCAAGCACUUUGACUUGGGCACAUGUUGUGCCAACUCAGCGAAAACGUAAGCUCGUAUCAUCGAAAGCAAGAGGAGGGAGGCGGAAUCGAGCGGGCGAGAUUAAGCCCUUGUUCGACAGCUGGUAGCGUAUAUCGCGCGUUAUACAUAUCGCUUAACAGCAGCGAAGCAACGCAUCGAGGAAAUAUACUUCAGGAAGAAGAGAAUGUAUUUAUACACAAGCUGAUAAUCGCGCCAUGAAGCAAGAAAAGUUUCACAUUGUAAGCUAUCCCGAUUCAUAAUAGGCGGUGUUACGGAUCAAGUGUCAUCGCACUAGUGAAGAACAAUGCAGUUAAUUUGCAAAGAUGCACCGGCUGCUCGCGCUAUUCAUUCGCGGAGAAAGCGCGACGAGUGUAUCGGCCUUGUUAAGUUUCAAAGUUACACACACACACCUUAGCGACGAGAAGUUUGCAACCCGUCGCUGAUAAUCCCGCGCUUACCACACUCCGAAUCAGAAUUUUCCGCGUAUUAUAAACCACCCAACAAAGUUUUCGUAUUAUCUCCAUAAUAGAAAAGCUUCUCAUAUAAGAAUAAGUACGCAUUUAUAGAGUAAUUCGAUUGAUUGUAAUAGAUCAACGUAAUUAAUCAUCUCCGCUUUCUUUCCAAGAUCAGAAUUGCUAAAUAUCAACGUAAAAUAACAUCAAAAGACACGGCAGUGUCUUGCAUCAAGUUACACGCAAGACCAUUCCGUGUGUCUAUACGUGAGUCGAGGUCAUCUGCGAAUACCUCAGGUCAUCGAGUCAAAAAAACGAUUGGAAUCGAUUGAAUUCCUAUUCGGCUUAAGCGGUAACUUAAGUUCAAUUUGUAUUUUUAUCUUCUUCUUUAAGUGUUCGAAGAACGAAGUUAUUGUGAUAUAAAGUCGCAUGUUGCAAUUUAAGAAGCACCAUUGUCGUAAUCGUGUCAUUUUCUCUUCUAUUAUAUAUCCAUCCUUUUCUAAUGCUGUGCAGUUACGAUUUUCAACACGUGUGGUGCUCGUAGUAGCGCUCCGUUAUGAAAGCUCCGUUAUGAAAGAAAUUGACAGAUUUGACUUGGACAAGUUUUGACAGAUGUCUUUUAAAUACUAAGGAUUAAUGUUAACGAAAAAUACGUUGCAUGUACAUAUAUAGUAUUUUUAAUAUUAGGUUAACUUGAGCUUAAAAAAAUCAACUUAUUUCCUGAAAAAAAUGUAUAGUGGAAACCAGGCAUACGUGCCCCAGUCGGAAAUGUGCCUCGAUAAUGUUAUCUCCGAAAUUACUUAAAAUUUAGCGCCAAUGCGGUCUGAGACACUCAAACCGUAAUGGCCAUGACGUAUGUAAACAAAAUUGAGCCGGUUUUGUUGCAGAAAAAUAAUCGUUACAGAAAGUGUUCCAAAGGUAAGUUUCGACACGUGAAUUUGUUUUGCAGGCUUUUCAGACCAGUGCAUUGCUCUUUCUAUGUUUUUAAUUUAACACAACCUUAAAGUUUUUAAUACCAGUGUUGCGUUUCAUGCAAAUUUAUUGUUAUUUAAUUCAGUGGGGCGCAUAGAUUAGACGGACUCACGUUUAAGCACGAUUGCAAUACCAAAGAAUCGUAAAAAGGCAGAAUUUAUAUGAAAAGAAAUAUA